AGAAUCAACGCUGGCGGCGUGCCUAACACAUGCAAGUCGAACGAGAAAGUUGGAGCAAUCCAUGAGUAAAGUGGCGACCGGGUGAGUAACACGUGACUAACCUACCUUCGAGUGGGGGAUAACCUCGGGAAACCGGGGCUAAUACCGCAUAACAUCUUUGGAGUGGAAAUUCUGGAGAUCAAAGGAGCAAUUCGCUGGAAGAGGGGGUCGCGGCUGAUUAGCUAGUUGGCGGGUAACGGCCCACCAAGGCUUAGAUCGGUA
rnacentral:rRNA from 1 species